UACGAAGGGGGCUAGCGUUGGUAGGAUUUACUGGGCGUAAAGCGCGUGUAGGCGGGUCGUUAAGUUGGGGGUGAAAUCCCGGAGCUCAACUCCGGAACUGCCUUCAAAACUGGCGACCUGGACUCAAGCAGAGGCAAGUGGAAUUGCGAGUGUAGAGGUGAAAUUCGUAGGUAUUCGCAGGAACACCAGUGGCGAAUGCGACUUGCUGGGCUUUUAGUGACGCUGAGACGCGAAAGCGUGGUGAGCAAACAGG
rnacentral:rRNA from 1 species